CCCUUAGAUGUCCUGGGCUGCACGCGUGCUACACUGAGUGGAUCAGCGGGUCAGGUUGCGCGAAAGCGUUUCCUAAUCUUUAAAUCCGCUCGUGAUGGGGAUUGACGGUUGCAAUUUUCUGUCAUGAACGAGGAAUACCUUGUAAGCGCGGGUCAUCAUCCCGCGCUGAAUACGUCCCUGCCCUUUGUACACACCGCCCGUCGCUCCUACCGAUUGAGUGGUCCGGUGAGGCUUUGGGAUCUGAGCGGAAAGAGCGUUUCGCUGUUUCUGCUCGGAAAACUCAGUCGAACCUUAUCAUUUAGAGGAAGGAGAAGUCGUAACA
rnacentral:rRNA from 1 species